CCUACGGGAGGCAGCAGUGAGGAAUAUUGGUCAAUGGGCGUAAGCCUGAACCAGCCAAGUCGCGUGAGGGAUGAAGGUUCUAUGGAUCGUAAACCUCUUUUAUAAGGGAAUACAGUGCGGGACGUGUCCCGUUUUGUAUGUACCUUAUGAAUCAGGAUCGGCUAAAUCCGUGCCAGCAGCCGCGGUAAUACGGAGGAUCCGAGCGUUAUCCGGAUUUAUUGGGUUUAAAGGUUGCGUAGGCGGCCUUUUAAUUCAGCGGGGAAAGUCUGUGGCUAAACCAUAGAAUUGCCGUUGAAACUGGGAGGCUUGAGGAUGUUUGAGGCAGGCGGAAUGCGUGGGGUAGCGGUGAAAUGCUGAGAUAUCACGCAGAACCCCGAUUGCGAAGGCAGCCUGCCAAGCCAUGACUGACGCUGAUGCACGAAAGCGUGGGGAUCAAACAGGAUUAGAUACCCGAGUAGUC
rnacentral:rRNA from 1 species